UUGCAGCCACAUCAAGCUGAAACAUCAGUUCCCGGACGAUCACCGAAGUUAAGCAACGCCGAGUUAGCUCAGUACCAAGAUAGGUAACCGCUUGGGAAUACCAGGUGCUGUAAG